UUGUGACAGUUCGUGCAAUACAUAUGGUGCUAUAAAAGCAAAAUUGGAGGAGCAAUAGGGCAAAGUUGACCCCAAAUUCUUGUCUAGAAUUGAAACAAGCGGCACAGAGGUACAUCCGAAAAUGAAAUGCACCAGUACUCUGGAAGAGAGCAAAUUUCCAGAUUGUAGAUCCGACCCCGAUCUUAGACCUUGCCUUCAAGCUACCGAAACAAAUACUGGUUCUUUCAAAGUUGAGGAGGAAAUGCAUAUGGCAGAAGGUUAUCCAUCUCUAAAAGAUCACCUUCCUGGAAAACCAAAGGCAGUUGUUGAGUAGAAGGUUGAUGGGGA